CUCUGACUUACAGUCUUCCUUUAUUGAUGCACACGGGAAAUGAACUUAGUGCUAAGAACACAAAAAAAAGAACUACAGUAUCGACCCAUGCAACAUUUUUGAAGAACAAAAGGGGUCCCUGAAAAGGUCCCCAUCAAUGGCAGGACCAUAUCAAUCGAGAUCAGUGACUAAAGCAGCUUCAUUUCGGAUAACCAACAGCCAUUCACAGCUCGGACUUCUGACAGCAAUCCACAGCCGCAACCAAUCACCUGCUCAAUAGACUGUGAACAAAUCAUGUACAGCCCAGCCCAGAAAACAACCAACAGCUCCUUGGAGUAUGGCAACAGAUUAAGGAGGAUUUCCACCCGGUUGCUAUCAUCAGUAUCUUAAGUAACUGACCACGACUGUAUCGUGGAGGAGUACACAUAAGGAUUAAGUGUGGUAGGUAUAAAACAGCCGUAACUGCAAUAAAUAAAAACUCCACAGAUGAACUCCAUAGAUGAACACAUUAAGUUCACGUCGUAACAGGAGGAAGAUGGUAAGAUACCCUUUUUGGACACUUGUGUUCACGUGAACGACGAUGGCUCCACCAAGAUUACGGUUUACCAAAAACCAACACACACCGACCAGUACCUGAACUUCAACUCCAACCACCACUUAGAUCAUAAACAGUCAGUAGUCAGAACAUUAAUCCACUGAGCUGAGAAAAUCACAAGUGAGAAACACGACCAAAAGUUGGAAAUCAAACACUGCAAAACUGCAUUUAGGGCCAACGGUUAUCCAGAGUGGAUGUUUACGAUCCCAAAGAAGAAAGACAAAACACCACCUGAUAAAUCCACCAACAAAAACCAAAAGAUCAAUAUUGGUAUGCCAUACAUCCGGGCACAUCAGAAGCUCUGCACAGAAUAUUCAAGAAAUAUGGGGUCAACAUGUACAAUUGACCAUAUAACUCAAUGAGAGAAAAAUUAACUCACGGUAAAGAUAAAACAGACAAAUUGAAAAAGUGUGGGGUGGUUUAUUACAUUAAGUGUGAACAAUGCAAAAACGAUUACAUAGGUGAAACUGGAAGAUCAUUGGACAUAAGAUUGAUAGAACAUGUAGCCAGAUCCAACUCGGCCAUAUAUGAACAUUGCUCCCACACAGGACACAAAAUUUACCCAAAUAACACCAAAAUUCUAGCAUCUGAGGACUGGCAUAUCAAACGUCGGGUCAAGGAGGCAAUAAACAUUAAACAACUUACCGUCGCUAAACCGGGACGAGGGGCUGGAACUUCCGCCUAUGUAUAAAUCUCUCCUCGUGUCACGUGACCAUCCUACAUCUUGUGACUCGUUCAACUGACCAGCACAUCGCUGAUGAAGACUAUGUGAUACAGUCGAAAUAUUCGAAGAAGUUGCCCUAGUAAAUUCCAGUAUAAAAGGCAAGUGACUUUGAAAUUAUCUGUGUAAAAUUCGAAAUAAAUGUGAUAAUUGUGACUUUCAGUGCUUAUUUUGGAAAAUAUUGUUCACAUUGAAAACUUUAAAAAUAAACUCUGUAUAGAAAAAAGAAUUGUUUUGUGUUGAUGGCAUAAUUGAAGGCCGUCUGGAAACACUUGAGGCUCCGCCCUUUUAUUGACGGUUGAAAUACCUGGUCUCUAUUUGGUUCCCAGUAACCAGUGCAAUGUUUUUGUCUGCCAUGAUAAUGAUGCUGGUGUUUUUUGUGAUCACACAUUGGUGUUUAUUGGAUUUGUGGGCUGAUAGAUAUUGGGACCAGAUAACACUAACUUGUGUGGGCUAUUUGCUGAUUAUGAAAACAGUUGCAUAUUGGACGGAAUGCACUCAGUGUCUAAAACA